UACGUAGGGUGCGAGCGUUAAUCGGAAUUACUGGGCGUAAAGCGUGCGCAGGCGGCUGCUCAAGUCAGGUGUGAAAUCCCCGGGCUUAACCUGGGAAUUGCGCUUGAAACUAGGUCGCUAGAGUGUGGCAGAGGGGGGUGGAAUUCCACGUGUAGCAGUGAAAUGCGUAGAGAUGUGGAGGAACACCGAUGGCGAAGGCAGCCCCCUGGGUCAACACUGACGCUCAUGCACGAAAGCGUGGGGAGCAAACAGG
rnacentral:rRNA from 1 species